rnacentral:rRNA from 1 species
CGAGCGAAAUAAUUGAGAGCUUGCUUUUGAUUAUUUUAGCGGCGGACGGGUGAGUAACGUGUGGGUAACCUGCCUUUUACUGGGGAAUAAUCACUGGAAACGGUGACUAAUACCGCAUACGGUUCUUGGAAGGCAUCUUCUGAGAAAGAAAGGAUUUAUUCGGUAAAAGAUGGGCCCGCAUCUGAUUAGCUAGUUGGUGAGAUAACAGCCCACCAAGGCGACGAUCAGUAGCCGACCUGAGAGGGUGACCGGCCACAUUGGGACUGAGACACGGCCCAAACUCCUACGGGAGGCAGCAGUGGGGAAUAUUGCACAAUGGGCGAAAGCCUGAUGCAGCAACGCCGCGUGAAGGAAGACGGUUUUCGGAUUGUAAACUUCUAUCAAUAGGGAAGAAAAAAAUGACGGUACCUAAAUAAGAAGCCCCGGCUAACUACGUGCCAGCAGCCGCGGUAAUACGUAGGGGGCGAGCGUUAUCCGGAAUUACUGGGUGUAAAGGGAGAGUAGGCGGCAAGGUAAGCGAUAUGUGAAAGCCUUAGGCUUAACCUGAGGAUUGCAUAACGAACUAUCUAGCUAGAGUACAGGAGAGGAAAGCGGAAUUCUUAGUGUAGCGGUGAAAUGCGUGGAUAUUAGGAAGAACACCAGUGGCGAAGGCGGCUUUCUGGACUGAAACUGACGCUGAGGCUCGAAAGCGUGGGGAGCGAACAGGAUUAGAUACCCUGGUAGUCCACGCUGUAAACGAUGAGUGCUAGGUGUCGGGGAGGAAUCCUCGGUGCC